AUGAUGUCAGGGCUUCUGGAGCCCUCUCCGAGUGAGACAGAAAUGAAAACCAGUGCCAUUCCCAUGAGUUGCUAUGAGAAUUUUGGACACAGACAUGGAUCGUGGAGUGGCAGAGAUACCCUUGCCUCUGUGCAAAGUAGAGGUGCUGAAUGGAGUCUUCUGCAUGAGACUCAAAGAGCCUCAGAGAGGAGCCCUUCUGUUCAAAUGACUAAGGCAAUGCAAGGAGAAAUCAAAGUCAUAAAAAAAAAAAAAAAAAAAAACAGCACAAUAAAAGGACUGCAUGUUUAAAAAAGAACAGAGCUUUGCUUGAUUUAAACCUCCUCUACUACAUGAAUAUUCAAGUCCUCAAAUGUCUCUGAGCCAGUUCAUGAAGGGAUGAGUUUUUUUUUUUCUAAUUGACAAAUAAAAAUUAUACAUAUAUAUGGAUGGUAAACACCAUGAUGUUCUGAAAUACGUAUACCUUGUGGAGUGGCUAAAACAUGCUAAUUAACAUGUGUAUUCCUUCAUAUACUUAUAUAUUUUUUUGUGGUGGGAACACUUAAAAUCUACUCUCUUAGCAAUUUUCAACAUAUUCUUGACUAUAGUCACCAUGCUGUACAAUAGAGCUCUUGAACUUUUUCCUCCUAACUGAAAUUUUGUAUCCUUUGACCUAUCUCUCCCCAACCUCCCUCCAUGAGUUUAUUUUUAUAGGCCAAUAAAGUGAAUAUUGAUCAUUCAGAUUUUGAGAUUUCAGAUCCUUAGGGCUUAUCUCAACAUUGAACAUUUAUUAACUGCCUAUGUCAUGGCAGGUACCAAUAGCCCUGCCUCUAGGUCUUUCACAACCACCUGGCCUCAGGAAGUGACAUGGCCAGGCUGGCCCCUCUGCAUGUCCCUAAUACCACCUCGAGGCCCCGGACUGGCCAUGAGAAUCUGCCCCAUCAUGAGAAAGACUGACCACAUUUUCCACUUCCAGUCCAGUGUGCCUGUGGCAAAGUCCAAAUGGAAAUAUUACUGUCUUUUUUUAAUGGGAUAAUUUUUUAAAAAAGAUUCCUAAUAUCAUGAGCUAUUUUAUGGGUGGCAGGGGAAGGGAUUUGAGGGAGGUAUUCUUAGUAUAACUCUUCUCCCUCAGUAUAUAUUGAAUUAAAUUAUAACUCAGUGUUUGUGCUGCCCUAUCUGUGCUGUGUUAUACCAAGUUAUUCUAAGACAUUCAGGAAAGAAGAGGUUUGGCAGGAACUAAAGGCAUUUAUAAUGGGAAAAACAGAACAUUUUCUUUUCUUGAGGAUAAAAUUUCAUCAUGUAUUCUCCAAAUCAGAUUUUAUGACAUGUACCCUUUAAUUGUAUUCCAGUUCUUUUUUAAGGGGGAGGGGUAAGGAUGAAGCGUAGAUAUAGCUCCUUGUCUUAUUCUUAGUUAGAAUCAACAACAUUUGUACUUCAAACCCAGACAACACCAAUGUCUCCCACAAGGUAUAAUACAUUUAACAAUAAGGUCACCGAAGGUCAUCUCUUGAAGGGUUUCUGCUUUGUAAAAGGAGACAAUAUUCUCAGCAGCCCACUGUUCACCUAUCUGGAUUCUUCCUUUUUUCCUGCAGGGAAGUAGGGGGAAAGAGGUAGGUCGUACAGCCUGGAAAGGCCAGAGUCUUCUGGGAAUGCCUGGCAUAGGUAUCCAAGAUAAAGCUGUUUUAUUCAUUUCAACUACCUUGGUCACCAAUGCCAGUUGUCCCAGGCUAUGGGAUCUGUGUGGUCAGCGGGGAAGGAAGGGAGGGAUUGGAAAGUUGAAAUCUGUUCCUCUGGCCAGCCUAGGUAUUCUGUUCCAAGCAGGGGAAGAGCUAUCUUAUUUUCUAAAAUCCUUAGUGGCGUGAUAAUUUUCAUAUUCUGAUGUGUAUGAGUUGCCUACUACUGUUCAGUUUCUGAAGUUGAUGCUAUUUUUCUGACCCUGUUAAGACAACUGGGCUUCACUUCACUCAUUUUAGCCUUUAACACAUGGAAAACACAUUGUCACUAUGUUUUAUGAAGCACAUGAGUCCUAACCUCUGCCCCUCACACCCACCACCUUGCCCUUCCUACCUUCUCUCACCCCAGUCUACUUUGGUCACUGUUUGGAAUGGAAGUUAGACUUCAUGAAAUGCAUUCUACUCACCAACUCACAAAGCAUUAAAAUAGAAGUUUUCUUUCCUGGUUGGGCCAUUUUCAAAGGGGAAACUUUUUAAGUAGUCCUUCUACAGAAGUCACCAAAAAGAUAGAAAACAGGAAAUUACAUGAAUUACUGAGAAAGUCUGCAUAUGAUUCUAAUUUUAUUCUUCCAACUAAUGAAGAUAAUAUGCCCUGAAUAUAAUAUAACACUAUUAAAACAAUAAAAUAGCAGUGCAAUAGUCAC
ensembl:lncRNA